rnacentral:rRNA from 1 species
GACGAACGCUGGCGGCGUGCCUAAUACAUGCAAGUAGAACGCUGAAGGAGGAGCUUGCUUUUCUGGAUGAGUUGCGAACGGGUGAGUAACGCGUAGGUAACCUGCCUGGUAGCGGGGGAUAACUAUUGGAAACGAUAGCUAAUACCGCAUAAGAGUAGAUGUUGCAUGACAUUUACUUAAACGGUGCAAUUGCAUCACUACCAGAUGGACCUGCGUUGUAUUUGCUAGUUGGUGGGGUAACGGCUUACCAAGGCGACGAUACAUAGCCGACCUGAGAGGGGGAACGGCCAACAUUGGACUGGGACACGGCCCAGACUCCUACGGGAGGGAGCCGGAGGGGAUCUUCGGAAAUGGGCGGAAGUCUGAACGAGGAAAGCCGCGUGAGUGAAGGAGGUUCUCGGAUCGUAAAGCUCUGUUGUAAGGGAAGGAAGAGUGUGAGGGUGGAAAGUUCACACUGUGACGGUAUCUUAAGAGAAAGGGACGGCUAACUACGUG